UGGCACCUACGGGGCGCAGCAGUGAGGAAUAUUGGUCAAUGGCCGCAGGGCUGAACCAGCCAAGUCGCGUGAGGGAUGACGGUCCUAUGGGUUGUAAACCUCUUUUGUCAGGGAGCAAAGGGCGCCACGUGUGGCGCUUUGCGAGUACCUGAAGAAAAAGCAUCGGCUAACUCCGUGCCAGCAGCCGCGGUAAUACGGAGGAUGCGAGCGUUAUCCGGAUUUAUUGGGCUUAAAGGGUGCGCAGGCGGAAUGUCAAGUCAGCGGUAAAAUUUCGGGGCUCAACCCCGUCGUGCCGUUGAAACAGG
rnacentral:rRNA from 1 species